rnacentral:rRNA from 1 species
GGCCCUACGGGGCGCAGCAGUGAGGAAUAUUGGUCAAUGGGCGGAAGCCUGAACCAGCCAAGUCGCGUGAGGGAAGAAGGCCCUGCGGGUCGCAGACCUCUUUGGACGGGGAGCAAGGCCGCCGACGUGUCGGCGGAAGGAGAGUACCCGUAGAACAAGCAUCGGCUAACUCCGUGCCAGCAGCCGCGGUAAUACGGAGGGUGCGAGCGUUAAUCGGAAUUACUGGGCGUAAAGCGCUCGUAGGCGGUAUGUCAAGUCAAGGGUGAAAUCCCCGCGCUCAACGUGGGAACUGCCUUUGA